rnacentral:rRNA from 1 species
AUGGCCGGAGGAGAGGAAGGGUGGAGGAGGAGCGGCAUCGAGGUGAGCACCCUGCAGUUCGGCUACGACGGGGAGGCGCCGCUCUUCGCGCGCUUCAACCUCCGCGUCGCCCCCGGCUCGCGCUGCCUCCUCGUCGGCGCCAACGGAUCCGGCAAGACCACUCUCUUGAAGAUUCUUGCAGGAAAACAUAUGGUUGGAGGAAAGGAUGUUGUCCGUGUUCUUAAUGGUUCUGCUUUUCAUGACACACAGUUCGUGUGCAGUGGUGACCUUUCCUACUUGGGUGGUUCGUGGAGUCGGAAUGUCAGUUCAGUUGGUGAUGUUCCACUACAGGGCGAUUUCUCUGCUGAGCACAUGAUAUUUGGAGUUGAUGGAGUUGAUCCUGUUAGGCGAGAGAAGCUGAUUGAUCUACUAGAUAUUGAUCUGCAAUGGCGCAUGCAUAAAGUUUCAGACGGACAGCGCCGCAGGGUACAAAUUUGCAUGGGCCUUCUUCAUCCAUACAAGGUACUCUUACUCGAUGAGAUCACCGUGGAUCUCGAUGUCGUGACCAGGAUGGAUCUCCUCGACUUCUUCAAGGAAGAGUGCGAGCAGAGAGAAGCCACGAUUGUCUACGCCACCCACAUAUUCGACGGGCUGGAGACAUGGGCCACCGACAUCGCGUACAUCCAAGAGGGCGAGCUGAAAAAGUCGGCGAAAUACUCGGACAUCGAAGAGCUGAAGACGGCCAAGAACCUUCUGACGGUCGUGGAGUCAUGGCUGAAGUCCGAGACCAAGCUCCCAAAGAAAGAGCCCGCGCGCGUCGAGAGCCAGCCCAGGCGCUCCUCCCCGUUCGACGCCUCCCCUUUCCGAGCGUCGCGCCACAUGGCCUACUACCGAUGA